AGGAGAGGAAAUUCCUCAAGGGUGAGGACGGGAUGUUGGAGUCUUUGUCGCAGUCAAGCCCUAAGCGUUUGGCUUGAUUCGAAUCUGUGCCGCUUGCUGUAUCUCCUGGGCUCCGACACGAACCCUCUCCUCCUAGGAUCUUUGAGGUUCUGCAGAGGUAUUGGAUAGGGCCGCAAAAGUGAGGCUAGAAUUGGAAUUGAAUUGAAAUGCCUUAGCUUUUGAUGUUCCUGUUGUUUGAGUUGAUGCAACUGCUUUCUGUCUCUGGAUCUCAGCUUCUCCAUCUAAUACCCUAAAAGAAUGCCACUGUCAAAAGAAGAGCGUACUGAAAUAAUCCUCAUGGCUGGAUCAGGCAGCUGUCGCAAGGUUGCAAUGGACUUUAACAGGAAACAUGGCAAACACAUCACACAUGACACUGUGGCCAAACUCAUUGAGAAGUUCAAGAAAACUGGAAGUGUCGCGGAUCAACAGAGAAGUGGACGUCCACGGACAUCCACUGACAAAGACACAGCUGUCCAGGUCCUGGCAGCAUUUGCAAGGAGUCCGCAAAAAAGCAUUCGCCAGUUAUCUGCAGAAACCGGUGUCAGCAGGUCGAGUAUCCAGCGCAUUAUGAAAAACGAAAAACAGCAUCUGUACAAGAUGCAAAUGUUACGCCAUCUUAGUGAAGAUGGCCCAGAUAAGAGGCUUGAAUUUUAUGAAUGGGCUCUAAACAAACCAGACAAAGAUGUAAACGUCACAGCUGAGAUCCUCUUUACUGAGGAAGCCAAUUUUUAGGCCAGCAGAGAAGUCAGUCCCCAAACCUGCAUUACUGGAAUAAUAGCAACCCAAACUGGAUGAGUCCAUCAAAAAUGCGAGGUGCUACAAAAGUGAUGGUGUGAGGCAGGAUAUGGGGCAACAGAACUGUUGGACCUGUUUCCUUUGACACACAUCUUACUGCCGACCUUUCCUUAAACAUGCCCCAGGACAACAUACUGCUGUCUCCCUUAAAUGAAGAUGGAGAGUGUCCGUCUUAUUUGCAGCACAAUAGGGCACCACCUCAUUAUGAUACCCCGUGUCAGUGCACUGCAGUGGUGGGAUCAGCAGGUUCCACUGUCAUGGACAGGUCGCCGCAGCCCCGUGGAGUAACCACUUAACAGUGUGAUUUUCAAGGAAAAGAUUAGAAACAUGGAUCAUGUGAACAAGGAAUGCAUUCGAAAUGCAGAUGCUUGCCUAACAACAGAUAGUCUUGGAACGUGUUCGCCAUGAGUGGGAGAGAAGAUUGCAUGUGUUUGCAAAAAGAAUGGCCAACACGGAGAGAAUAUUUUGUAAAUACAGCAGAACCUCCAUAGUUGAACACCUCCCUAGAUUGACCCCGUCCUUAAGGUGACCUAAUUUUCAUAGAUGGGACAUGCACCACAUGUACGUAUCAAGAUGUUGACCAGUUUGUUGCAGUCCCUUUGGUGGUCAACUACCAGAGGCUCUACAGUAUUUUGUAAUGAGUAUUUUGUAAAUAAAGGCACAUUUAGCUACAA